GCAGUCUCCCUGAUCCAUGGUUUUGCUUUCUGUGGCUUCAAUUACCUACAUUCAGCUCAUAUUCAAAAAUUGACAUCAAGACUGGAGGUAGAGACCUCCCCAGAUGCAUCCUUGACUGCCAGCAGCCAUGCUCCAUUGCCUGCCCCCAACCUGUUUAUCCAGGCAAGACAUACUUUUAAUUUAGCAGCCUGCAAAGGUCUCUGAUGAAGUCUGAUGAAGAGCCUUUGCUUGCCCCCUUUCUUGAGCCAGAGGGGGGAGCACACCACCAACAGCAAGGCCCAGCCCACUAGCAAUAUAUUACUCUCAAAGAAAACUGUGGUUGGGAAGAUUGUGGCGAGAGCUGGAGUCAUGCAGUGAUCUGUUCUCGAUUGAGCGCAUGCAGAAAUGUGUCAGCCAGGUCUCCUCCAUCCUCUGGCGGGUAGAGUGUGCGCAGCCCCAGCAAGCCCCGUCCGGAAGGGAUGAUUUAUGAGGAGUGCUUUAGCUCCGUGUGAUGUUACGUCUGUCUCAUUUUCCUCUCCUGAAGUGAACAAUCAAGGCAGACUUUUCUCAGGCAGGGGGUGACUGGGUGGUAGUGGGAGGCGCCAUUAAUCUCUGGGUUCUUCAGGAAAGCCAAUUUGAUCAUUGUGCAACAGCAGCCUCUCUGAGUGCGUUGUUGCUUGUUAGCUUGGAUGUGUGCCCUCUGGAAACAGCAUGCUGGGAAGCCGGAGUCCCGAGGAAAGGCUGGGAGUGGAGGGGGUUGUGGCACAUGCUGGGAAGCAGGAGUCAGGAGGAAAGGCUGGGAGUGGGGUGUGUGUGUGGCUCCUGAUCUCUCCAGAGACUUCCAGGGCUUGG